UGUGGAGAGGCUUGGAUUUUAUCCAUCUUAUAAAGAAAAGGUAGCCCUGGCGAGUAACAUCAUUACCACUUUUCCAUGCCUGAAAGUUCAGGUGGACAGGAAAGGACAAGGAUUUUUUGAUUCAGAGUUCAACACUUUGUUCAAGGGAAAGGGAGAUUUCUUCCUCAGCAGAUGGGAAGCCAUAGUCAUCCCACAGCUGACCGCAGUUGCAGUAAAGGAGAAACAUGAAAUCGCAUCGCUCACUGAGGGAAUGAAUGACCUAACAGAUGAUGAGAAGAGCUACAAAAUCCUACAAAUUCUGACCCAUCUUCUCCCCAAUCGCAUCCAGCCGGUGCAGUGUCAAGUCGGCCAUCACACACCUUAUUGACUUUGUACCGACUGGAACUAGCAUCUCAUCCCUCUGUUCUAAUGAUGACUCUGAAUGCCACGCCUCUCAGCCACAACUCCUAUUCAUUGGCAGCUUCAAGGAUGCAAUUCAGCAGUACGUCAUCGUUGGCAAGAAUGAU